GAAGACUAUCACUAAAGCUCCACAUGCUUCACCAACGAAUUAACUUAAUAGCAUUGGCUAACUUGCAUCACUUGUAGCGAUCUCUACCACUAUAUUUCAGGCAAAUCUAGCUUACGCCAGAUACGUGCCCACAACCAAAACGAAGUUUUGAGUAUAUAAAUGACGCUCAAACAGGUAUACCCUCCGGAAUACCAGAAGGUGCAAUGUGCGUUCAAAAAUUCGAUGAUUCACAAAAUCCUGCAAUUCACAAUACUUAUCGCAUUUUGCUGCGUUCUUCAUCGAUGCGAGAACCAAGAGAUCCGUUGUUGAAAGUUUUGAAGAUUUUAAAUAAACAUUCAGACUAAUUAUGUAAAUCAUGUCUUUUUAAAAAAGAGUUUAUGGAUAGAGAGAUGUCUAUAAAAGACACAUACUCAGUAAUGAUCCUUCCGCAGGUUCACCUACGGAACGUUUUCAGUUACGUUUACGCAUACUCAUUCAGCAUUCAUCAAUGUCUGUCCACAGUCUUGACAUUGGCGACAUUAUAGACUCAAUCCAUAGAUUAGUGAAGUCGGACGCCUUUAUUAAAGCGAAUUCACACCUCACUUCUUCAGAUAUUUGCAAUCUACUUCAGUCGCCUCCUGUCUGGCCACACUCUCCUGUCUUCUCUCCAUUUGCCACAACCCAUCACGGCUACAGUCAAAUCAAGAUUAGAGGAGUGAAAUAUUUGCUUCAUCGGGUAGCCUAUGCACUAAUAGAUCAGAAUUUCGAUCCAACUAGAGAUGUUUCGCACACUCUCUACUUAGGCGACUACACGACCAGCAAUUUCAAUCCACUGUAUCUGAUCCAAGAAGACAACGAAGUGAACCAAAGCAGAAAGCUCUGCUUUUUAUUUAUGGAACAAAGAGCCUGGAACUACACUGUUGGAUUAACUACUCCUCAGUGGGGCCCAUGCGAUCUUUACAGACAUACAUAUUCAAUGAUGGCUAUGUGCAGACAGAUCCAUCGCCAUAAGCCAUGUACCUUUGAUGUCCACUAUCUAUAGAUCAUUGCUAUGUAGAUUGCAAUAGAGUAUACUUUGUAGCUUCCCAUCUGCUCUCACAGCGGGACCGACCAUAUCUUAAGCAGAUUUAGUAAUCUACCCAUCACCAUUUGGCCUGUGAACUGCAUCCAUGCUACUUGCGUAGUUUAGGACUUGGCUGCGGAUUACCCAUUGUUGCAUAUCUUGAAUUAUUACCAUACCCAGGGCUGUUAGCUCGGCCACCGGCGUCUUUCGACUGCCAGCUUGGUAUCAAGAUCUUUAGGGUGUCCCCGACAAUUUGGCAAUGUCGCCUCUGAUAACAGAGACUAGCAUUUAAGAACGCCAUAUUUAUUUAUAGUCGCUAGCAUCG
rnacentral:misc_RNA from 1 species